AGCGAACGCUGGCGGCAGGCUUAACACAUGCAAGUCGAGCGGGCAUCCUUGUGGCGUCAGCGGCUGACGGGUGAGUAACGCGUGGGAACGUGCCCUUCGGUUCGGAAUAACUCAGGGAAACUUGAGCUAAUACCGGAUAGGUGCGAGAGCAGAAAGGUUUAUCUGCCGAAGGAUCGGCCCGCGUCUGAUUAGCUAGUUGGUGAGGUUAUGGCUCACCAAGGCGAAGAUCAGUAGCUGGUCUGAGAGGAUGCUCAGCCACACUGGGGCUGAGACACGGCCCAGACUCCUACGAGAGGCAGCAGUGGGGAAUAUUGGACAAUGGGGGCAACCCUGAUCCAGCCGUGCCGCGUGAGUGAUGACGGCCUUAGGGUUGUAAAGCUCUUUUCUCCGGGACGAUAAUGACGGUACCGGCGGAAUAAGCCCCGGCUAACUUCGU
rnacentral:rRNA from 1 species